AAAGUCGUAACAAGGUUUCCGUAGGUGAACCUGCGGAAGGAUCAUUACUGCUUGCUUACGACUCCUGUGUGGGAAACCACGCGGUUGUCAGGCUUGCUACCCUUGUCUAUCUUCAACCUCCGUUAUUUCCCUCGGCAGGGCGACCUGUCGCUGGGCUAUAUACAACCACUUGUUUGCAGAAUUACCUUCUGAAUUACGCAAAAAUUACAACUUUUAACAAUGGAUCUCUUGGUUCUG
rnacentral:misc_RNA from 1 species